CACGUAGGCACCAAGCGUUGUCCGGAUUUAUUGGGCGUAAAGAGCUCGUAGGCGGUUGAGUAAGUCGGGUGUGAAACUCUGGGCUUAACCCAGAGCCGCCACCCGAUACUGCUCUGACUUGAGUUCGGUAGGGGAGCAGGGAAUUCCUAGUGUAGCGGUGAAAUGACGCAGAUAUCAGGAAGAACACCCGUGGCGAAGGCGGCUCUCUGGGACGGUACUGACGCUGAGACGCGAAAGCGUGGGGAGCGAACAGG
rnacentral:rRNA from 1 species